rnacentral:lncRNA from 1 species
UGUGCCCAUGGGGCCAUCUCGGCUUGUCCGUGGCCCUCGGCCCCAGGGCAUGCGUUCCCCCUACCGCAGGCCAGGUAUGGGCUGGCCCAGGCCCCGAUUUCCCAGGAUGUUCAAGUGUAGCCGCAGAAGAUAUCAACAGGGUCUCCGAGGUCGAACUGCCAGCAGUGCAGCCAUCAAUCCUGCCACCAGGGCCAUGGGUAUCAACAACACCCACACUGACACCACCAUAGUGUGGAUCUUCCCACCUCAAGUUCUCAGACAUCUCAGGCAACCUGGGAUUUUUCUGAUCCUCUAGAAGUGCCCAGAAGCUAGCCCAGAAGCUUGGUUUGCCCUGGACCUGCAUCUCCUAGGGGCCGUGUGGGUGGUGAACAACAAAUACAGUCAUUCUGCUCAAA